ACAGCACGUUAGCAUGGAUGGCAGCCCAAACGUGCCAGUCAUGCAAGCUAUCUGAUCUCAUCUGAAAGAAGGGAGACAGAUGUCUGGCAACAGGCUUUAUCUGAAGAGGUUUACUUUCACUGUAGUGCAUCAGCCUGUGUCUCAGCUACUAUGAAUCCCUCCACACCUCACUAACCUUCUGAGAGGGAGCGAGAGAUCCUUAUUACUGCUUUGAAUGCAACACGUUGUCUCAAAACCAUCUGUAGAGCUGCUGGCCCAGAGUCAUUCCUCUAACUAAGGGGUUUACUAAUUUGAGGGCUGCAGUGUGAAGCACCUGUUACUAAAAGUCAGGCAAUCCUCUUGGAACUGAGCAUAUCCCAGAGGAAACCAGACUUUGCUAAUGCUUCUCAUAAGACCAUGCGAACUUGGUGUUCUGGGUCUGCAAGAAAGACUUCGUGCCCAGUUCUGAUUUCAUAAAUGGGAUGGAAUCUACAGGUUACAGGUGAUGUGGACUUCUCACUUGCAUAUUUAUUCAGCAUCUAUCACAGUGGGAGGCCCUGGAUGUGACUGUAAUACAAACAACACUGACAAAUCCGUGUUUCCAUGGAUGUGUCUGAAGAUGUCUCUACAAUGAAUGUUUCCCUGUAAUGUUCCUGAAAAGAGAAUUGUACGCUACUUUGACACUCUGUUGCUAGCUUAGAGUUGCAGGAGAAAGGCUGAAAGAUCCAUCUCCCUCUUGAAGCUGGAUGGAUGAACUGAAGCGGCAGACAGAGCCUGGAGGGAGAAAGGAAAGAACUGGCAUACGUAAAUUAUCAUAGAUCUAUACAGCAGCAAGACAAACAUCUCUGUCCGGUCUUCCUGAUAUAUGUCAAAGACCUCUUGCAAAAACCCUGCUGUGGACACAGAAUGCAUUACAGGAGUGGAAAAGCAUUUUACACCUUUACUGCUGGUCAUUGCUUGGCGCAGCACAUCUGCAAGGCACAGGAUCACCCAACAUGACAGAGUACCGUGGGGAAAUGAAGAAAUGUGUGUUUGAGAUGUGAUUCGGAAGAGACUAUCAAAAGGAAAGGAUUGCUGUACAGCUCUGAAUAUGCUCCUUCCUCAGCUGAUGAGAGACAUCUUCUUACAGCAUCUGGGGGUCUGAUAAAGCCACAACACUGACACUGACUGUCGACUUUCACCUUUGAUGCGUCUCCCCUGCCUCCAGGAUGGGUUGCAAUUGAUUCUUUUCCUUAAUUCUGCUCUCUGCAGUGAGCCUCCAUCAUUGCAUGUUGACCCCUUUGCCUUCUCUGUUGUCCAUUUCACUUCUCUUCUUUGUUUCUAUCUUUUUCCCUGCCUUGUCUUCUAUUCGUUUCUCAGCAUCUUUCAAGUGUCAUCAUGAAAACCUGUUGCCAAACUGUGAAGGGUUCUUUUCUUCCUAGUGGGCAAUUUCUUCCCUUCCUUUGUGUUCAGAUGAAAAUGUACAAACUGGAAUUCUCCUAACUAUCAAAGGAGCCAAAACAGGCCAAACCAAACUCCUAUCUAGAGAGUUCCUGUUCAUCACAGCUUAUCAUUUAAAGCUGACCCCAGUCAUGGAAAAGAUUUUCUACUAAAUGAGGAUAAAAUGGAAAAACUCCUCUACUUAAAAUUUCAAAUUAGAUCUCCACUUUCCAUUUUAAGUACUGAACUUAAAAUAUUUUACUUCAUCCUUGUUCAACUGGAAUGUAAAAUGGUGUCAUACUGACAAGUGCAGUACCUGGGACCAUCAUAUUAAGACUCAUCUCUAAGCAAGACCACCUGCCCAGUGGAGAACAGGAUUAGGUGUUUUCAAAUCUCAGCUUUCAUAAGGCCCUGCAGCAGCAUCCAAGGCAUAAUGCUACUUUUUUUUGCCUCCAUUUUGUGCUUCAAUUUUAUUUAGUGAAAAUCCCAGGGUGCAAUCCAAGGAUAGCCUCAACAAUUCCCAUGGCUGUUUCUUUGACCUAACUGUUAUGAAGACCUUUGACAACUUCUAGUAUUCAACACUAGACUUUUGCUGGCUAUAGAUGUCAGUUCCUUUAAGCUUCAAUUAUCCUUAGCUUUUCUCCCUCUCUUUCUCUCUUUUUCUCUUGAUGGGCUGCUGGUUUUGACACACAACUGACCACAGUGAAGUGUCUUUCUUUGACAGCUUGCUCGUGGUUGAUAUUUAUCUCCCCUCCCAUGCCUUUUAGCACCCCGGUUUCUUUGCCAGAUAUAAAGUGAACCUCGGGGAAAGCAGAGUCGGAGCUGAGAGAAGCAGGAGAAGGAUGAAUCCCAGAGGAUACCAUGAUCAGCUGAGUUUUCAGUUUGAAGUUCUGGAGCUGGAGGGCUGCAUUCCCUGACGGACUAGAAAUAACUGCAGUAUUAUUAAAACUGCUCCAUCACUGGCUGUAAUGGGAGCGUCUGUAUUUUCUCCCUCGCCUGUAUCCCUGACAUGACAUAAUGCCUGCCCUCACCAAGACGCUAUAACACCGAGCAGGUGAGAGGUGUAAGGCUUUGAUGUGAAGCUUGCUGUGCCAGUGUGUCCCGCUGCCCAGUGCAGAUGUGGCAACCUAAGGCUCUGCCUAUCUCUGUGGGUCCGAGUUCUUCCGUUGCAAAUGUGUGACACCCGAACACAAGCCACAAAUCAACGAGGGUCGUAGAACCCUCAGCACUGCAAGAGGCCCCACACACAUUGCAAUGGACAGGAGCUGAAGUAUUUUGUGACCACGAGACUUGGAAGAUCCUCAUGGUUUUGGUCACAGGUGUCUGCUGAAUAACCUCAGCUUCUUCAGUUCACAGCUCUUAGCUGAGGCCAGCCAGUGUGAAGCAAGCUGUGCAAAAUCCUGGGAUGCCUCCCACCCUUCUGCCUCCCGUGCAGGCAAGUGGCUGUCGAGCUUCAAUCUGCCCAAGCAAACGGGGUGGCAAAGACAAGUGACCUACUUCUUGAGAAGCCCUGGUACUUCAGCAUCAUCGCCUUCCAUCAGCCCUCCAGGAAUCACGUGCUAACCCCCUGAGGAAAGUACUGAAUUGCGAUUCCCAUGUCAAAUCACCAUUUCUAAAUGAAACACUAAAAAGUUUAACCUGUCAUUUCAUUUUCAGGGCAUUGUUCCUUUUUCUUUCUUUUUCUUUUUUUUUUUUUUAAU